UACAGGGGGGGCAAGCGUUGUUCGGAAUUACUGGGCGUAAAGGGCUCGUAGGUGGCCAACUAAGUCAGACGUGAAAUCCCUCAGCUUAACUGGGGAACUGCGUCCGAUACUGGCAGGCUUGAAUCCGGGAGAGGGAUGCGGAAUUCCAGGUGUAGCGGUGAAAUGCGUAGAUAUCUGGAGGAACACCGGUGGCGAAGGCGGCAUCCUGGACCGGUAUUGACGCUGAGGCGCGAAAGCCAGGGGAGCAAACGGG
rnacentral:rRNA from 1 species